UUUAACGAGAGUUUGAUCCUGGCUCAGAAUGAACGCUGGCGGCGUGCUUAACACAUGCAAGUCGAGCGAAGCGCUUUAAUUGGAUUUCUUCGGAAUGACGAUUAAAGUGACUGAGCGGCGGACGGGUGAGUAACGCGUGGGUAACCUACCUCAUACAGGGGGAUAACAGUUGGAAACGACUGCUAAUACCGCAUAAGCGCACGGUAUCGCAUGAUACAGUGUGAAAAACUCCGGUGGUAUGAGAUGGACCCGCGUCUGAUUAGCUAGUUGGUGGGGUAACGGCCUACCAAGGCGACGAUCAGUAGCCGACCUGAGAGGGUGA
rnacentral:rRNA from 1 species